rnacentral:rRNA from 1 species
UACAGAGGGUGCAAGCGUUGUUCGGAAUUAUUGGGCGUAAAGGGCGCGUAGGCGGUGCGGUAAGUCCGCAGUGAAAUCUCUGGGCUCAACUCAGAGUCUGCUGUGGAAACUGCCGUGCUUGAGUGUGGGAGAGGUGAGUGGAAUUCCCGGUGUAGCGGUGAAAUGCGUAGAUAUCGGGAAGAACAUCGGUGGCGAAAGCGCUCUACUGGACGGUAUCUGACACUGAGGGACGAAAGCUAGGGGAGCGAAUGGG